UGUGAGCUCGAUGAGUAGGGCGGGACACGUGGUAUCCUGUCUGAAUAUGGGGGGACCAUCCUCCAAGGCUAAAUACUCCUGACUGACCGAUAGUGAACCAGUACCGUGAGGGAAAGGCGAAAAGAACCCCGGCGAGGGGAGUGAAAAAGAACCUGAAACCGUGUACGUACAAGCAGUGGGAGCACGCUUAGGCGUGUGACUGCGUACCUUUUGUAUAAUGGGUCAGCGACUUAUAUUCUGUAGCAAGGUUAACCGAAUAGGGGAGCCGAAGGGAAACCGAGUCUUAACUGGGCGUUAAGUUGCAGGGUAUAGACCCGAAACCCGGUGAUCUAGCCAUGGGCAGGUUGAAGGUUGGGUAACACUAACUGGAGGACCGAACCGACUAAUGUUGAAAAAUUAGCGGAUGACUUGUGGCUGGGGGUGAAAGGCCAAUCAAACCGGGAGAUAGCUGGUUCUCCCCGAAAGCUAUUUAGGUAGCGCCUCGUGAAUUCAUCUCCGGGGGUAGAGCACUGUUUCGGCAAGGGGGUCAUCCCGACUUACCAACCCGAUGCAAACUGCGAAUACCGGAGAAUGUUAUCACGGGAGACACACGGCGGGUGCUAACGUCCGUCGUGAAGAGGGAAACAACCCAGACCGCCAGCUAAGGUCCCAAAGUCAUGGUUAAGUGGGAAACGAUGUGGGAAGGCCCAGACAGCCAGGAUGUUGGCUUAGAAGCAGCCAUCAUUUAAAGAAAGCGUAAUAGCUCACUGGUCGAGUCGGCCUGCGCGGAAGAUGUAACGGGGCUAAACCAUGCACCGAAGCUGCGGCAGCGACGCUGAUGCGUUGUUGGGUAGGGGAGCGUUCUGUAAGCCUGUGAAGGUGUACUGUGAGGUAUGCUGGAGGUAUCAGAAGUGCGAAUGCUGACAUAAGUAACGAUAAAGCGGGUGAAAAGCCCGCUCGCCGGAAGACCAAGGGUUCCUGUCCAACGUUAAUCGGGGCAGGGUGAGUCGACCCCUAAGGCGAGGCCGAAAGGCGUAGUCGAUGGGAAACAGGUUAAUAUUCCUGUACUUGGUGUUACUGCGAAGGGGGGACGGAGAAGGCUAUGUUGGCCGGGCGACGGUUGUCCCGGUUUAAGCGUGUAGGCUGGUUUUCCAGGCAAAUCCGGAAAAUCAAGGCUGAGGCGUGAUGACGAAGCACUACGGUGCUGAAGCAACAAAUGCCCUGCUUCCAGGAAAAGCCUCUAAGCAUCAGGUAACAUCAAAUCGUACCCCAAACCGACACAGGUGGUCAGGUAGAGAAUACCAAGGCGCUUGAGAGAACUCGGGUGAAGGAACUAGGCAAAAUGGUGCCGUAACUUCGGGAGAAGGCACGCUGAUAUGUAGGUGAAGCGACUUGCUCGUGGAGCUGAAAUCAGUCGAAGAUACCAGCUGGCUGCAACUGUUUAUUAAAAACACAGCACUGUGCAAACACGAAAGUGGACGUAUACGGUGUGACGCCUGCCCGGUGCCGGAAGGUUAAUUGAUGGGGUCAGCGCAAGCGAAGCUCUUGAUCGAAGCCCCGGUAAACGGCGGCCGUAACUAUAACGGUCCUAAGGUAGCGAAAUUCCUUGUCGGGUAAGUUCCGACCUGCACGAAUGGCGUAAUGAUGGCCAGGCUGUCUCCACCCGAGACUCAGUGAAAUUGAACUCGCUGUGAAGAUGCAGUGUACCCGCGGCAAGACGGAAAGACCCCGUGAACCUUUACUAUAGCUUGACACUGAACAUUGAGCCUUGAUGUGUAGGAUAGGUGGGAGGCUUUGAAGUGUGGACGCCAGUCUGCAUGGAGCCGACCUUGAAAUACCACCCUUUAAUGUUUGAUGUUCUAACGUGGACCCGUAAUCCGGGUUGCGGACAGUGUCUGGUGGGUAGUUUGACUGGGGCGGUCUCCUCCUAAAGAGUAACGGAGGAGCACGAAGGUUGGCUAAUCCUGGUCGGACAUCAGGAGGUUAGUGCAAUGGCAUAAGCCAGCUUGACUGCGAGCGUGACGGCGCGAGCAGGUGCGAAAGCAGGUCAUAGUGAUCCGGUGGUUCUGAAUGGAAGGGCCAUCGCUCAACGGAUAAAAGGUACUCCGGGGAUAACAGGCUGAUACCGCCCAAGAGUUCAUAUCGACGGCGGUGUUUGGCACCUCGAUGUCGGCUCAUCACAUCCUGGGGCUGAAGUAGGUCCCAAGGGUAUGGCUGUUCGCCAUUUAAAGUGGUACGCGAGCUGGGUUUAGAACGUCGUGAGACAGUUCGGUCCCUAUCUGCCGUGGGCGCUGGAGAACUGAGGGGGGCUGCUCCUAGUACGAGAGGACCGGAGUGGACGCAUCACUGGUGUUCGGGUUGUCAUGCCAAUGGCACUGCCCGGUAGCUAAAUGCGGAAGAGAUAAGUGCUGAAAGCAUCUAAGCACGAAACUUGCCCCGAGAUGAGUUCUCCCUGACUCCUUGAGAGUCCUGAAGGAACGUUGAAGACGACGACGUUGAUAGGCCGGGUGUGUAAGCGCAGCGAUGCGUUGAGCUAACCGGUACUAAUGAACCGUGAGGCUUAACCUUACAACGCCGAAGCUGUU
rnacentral:rRNA from 1 species